AGAGUUUGAUCCUGGCUCAGAUUGAACGCUAGCGGGAUGCCUUACACAUGCAAGUCGAACGGCAGCACGGACUUCGGUCUGGUGGCGAGUGGCGAACGGGUGAGUAAUGUAUCGGAACGUGCCCAGUAGCGGGGGAUAACUACGCGAAAGCGUAGCUAAUACCGCAUACGCCCUACGGGGGAAAGCAGGGGAUCGCAAGACCUUGCACUAUUGGAGCGGCCGAUAUCGGAUUAGCUAGUUGGUGGGGUAACGACUCACCAAGGCGACGAUCCGUAGCUGGUUUGAGAGGACGACCAGCCACACUGGGACUGAGACACGGCCCAGACUCCUACGGGAGGCAGCAGUGGGGAAUUUUGGACAAUGGGGAAACUCUGAUCCAGCCAUCCCGCGUGUGCGAUGAAGGCCUUCGGGUUGUAAAGCACUUUUGGCAGGAAAGAAACGUCAUGGGUUAAUACCCCGUGAAACUGACGGUACCUGCAGAAUAAGCACCGGCUAACUACGUGCCAGCAGCCGCGGUAAUACGUAGGGUGCAAGCGUUAAUCGGAAUUACUGGGCGUAAAGCGUGCGCAGGCGGUUCGGAAAGAAAGAUGUGAAAUCCCAGAGCUUAACUUUGGAACUGCAUUUUUAACUACCGGGCUAGAGUGUGUCAGAGGGAGGUGGAAUUCCGCGUGUAGCAGUGAAAUGCGUAGAUAUGCGGAGGAACACCGAUGGCGAAGGCAGCCUCCUGGGAUAACACUGACGCUCAUGCACGAAAGCGUGGGGAGCAAACAGGAUUAGAUACCCUGGUAGUCCACGCCCUAAACGAUGUCAACUAGCUGUUGGGGCCUUCGGGCCUUGGUAGCGCAGCUAACGCGUGAAGUUGACCGCCUGGGGAGUACGGUCGCAAGAUUAAAACUCAAAGGAAUUGACGGGGACCCGCACAAGCGGUGGAUGAUGUGGAUUAAUUCGAUGCAACGCGAAAAACCUUACCUACCCUUGACAUGUCUGGAAUGCCGAAGAGAUUUGGCAGUGCUCGCAAGAGAACCGGAACAUAGGUGCUGCAUGGCUGUCGUCAGCUCGUGUCGUGAGAUGCUGGGUUAAGUCCCGCAACGAGCGCAACCCUUGUCAUUAGUUGCUACGAAAGGGCACUCUAAUGAGACUGCCGGUGACAAACCGGAGGAAGGUGGGGAUGACGUCAAGUCCUCAUGGCCCUUAUGGGUAGGGCUUCACACGUCAUACAAUGGUCGGGACAGAGGGUCGCCAACCCGCGAGGGGGAGCCAAUCCCAGAAACCCGAUCGUAGUCCGGAUCGCAGUCUGCAACUCGACUGCGUGAAGUCGGAAUCGCUAGUAAUCGCGGAUCAGCAUGUCGCGGUGAAUACGUUCCCGGGUCUUGCACACACCGCCCGUCA
rnacentral:rRNA from 1 species